rnacentral:rRNA from 1 species
AUUGAACGCUGGCGGCAGGCCUAACACAUGCAAGUCGAGCGGAUGAAGGGAGCUUGCUCCUGGAUUCAGCGGCGGACGGGUGAGUAAUGCCUAGGAAUCUGCCUGGUAGUGGGGGAUAACGUCCGGAAACGGGCGCUAAUACCGCAUACGUCCUGAGGGAGAAAGUGGGGGAUCUUCGGCCCUCACGCUAUCAGAUGAGCCUAGGUCGGAUUAGCUAGUUGGUGGGGUAAAGGCCUACCAAGGCGACAAUCCGUAACUGGUCUGAGAGGAUGAUCAGUCACACUGGAACUGAGACACGGUCCAGACUCCUACGGGAGGCAGCAGUGGGGAAUAUUGGACAAUGGGCGAAAGCCUGAUCCAGCCAUGCCGCGUGUGUGAAGAAGGUCUUCGGAUUGUAAAGCACUUUAAGUUGGGAGGAAGGGCAGUAAGUUAAUACCUUGCUGUUUUGACGUUACCAACAGAAUAAGCACCGGCUAACUUCGUG